rnacentral:rRNA from 1 species
UACGAAGGGGGCUAGCGUUGUUCGGAUUAACUGGGCGUAAAGCGCGCGUAGGCGGGUUUUUAAGUCUGAUGUGAAAGCCCACGGCUCAACCGUGGAAGGUCAUUGGAAACUGAGAGACUUGAGUACAGAAGAGGAAAGCGGAAUUCCACGUGUAGCGGUGAAAUGCGUAGAGAUGUGGAGGAACACCAGUGGCGAAGGCGGCUUUCUGGUCUGUAACUGACGCUGAGGCGCGAAAGCGUGGGGAGCAAACAGG